rnacentral:rRNA from 1 species
AUUGAACGCUGGCGGCAGGCCUAACACAUGCAAGUCGAGCGAGCGGCGGACGGGUGAGUAAUGUAUGGGGACUGCCCGAUAGAGGGGGAUAACUACUGGAAACGGUGGCUAAUACCGCAUACUAUCGGAUAACCCAUAUGGGAUUAGCUAGUAGGGUGGGUAAAGGCUCACCUAGGCGACGAUCUCUAGCUGGUCUGAUAGGAUGAUCAGCCACACUGGUACGAAGUGAAGGCCCAGAGUCCUAAGGAGGCAGCAGGGGGGAAAAUUGCACAAUGGGCGCAAGACUGAAGCAGCCAAGCCGCGUGUAUGAAGAAGGCCUUAGGGUUGUAAAGUACUUUCAGCGUGGAGGCGUUACCCGCAGAAGAAGCACCGGCUAACUCCGUGCCAGCAGCCGCGGUAAUAC